rnacentral:rRNA from 1 species
UUAAAAAGACUCGUAGUUGGAUUUCGGAGUGGGCCAGUUGGUCCGCCGCAAGGUGUGUUACUGACUGGUUUGCUCUUCUUCGCAAAGACUGCGUGUGCUCUUUAGUGAGUGUGCGUAGGAUUUACGACGUUUACUUUGAAAAAAUUAGAGUGUUCAAAGCAGGCUAUUGCUUGAAUACAUGAGCAUGGAAUAAUGGAAUAGGACUUUGGUCCCAUUUUGUUGGUUUCUAGGACCGAAGUAAUGAUUAAAGAGGGACAAUUGGGGGCAUCCGUAUUUCGUUGUCAGAGGUGAAAUUCUUGGAUUUACGAAAGACGAACAACUGCGAAAGCACUUGCCAAGAGUGUUUUCAUUAAUCAAGAACGAAAGUUAGAGGAUCGAAGACGAUCAGAUACCGUCCUAGUUCUAACCAUAAACGAUGUCGACUAGGGAUCAGCGGGUGUUAUCGUACGACUCCGUUGGCACCUUACGGGAAACCAAAGUUUUUGGAUUCCGGGGGAAGUAUGGUUGCAAAGCUGAAACUUAAAGGAAUUGACGGAAGGGCACCACCAGGAGUGG